rnacentral:rRNA from 1 species
UACGUAGGGGGCGAGCGUUGUCCGGAAUCAUUGGGCGUAAAGAGCGUGUAGGCGGCUUGGCAAGUCUGACGUGAAAGCCCGCGGCUCAACCGCGGAUUGUCGUUGGAAACUGCCUCGCUAGAGUCCGGAAGAGGAGAGCGGAAUUCCUGGUGUAGCGGUGGAAUGCGCAGAUAUCAGGAAGAACACCCGUGGCGAAGGCGGCUCGCUGGGACGUGACUGACGCUGAGACGCGAAAGCGUGGGGAGCAAACAGG